rnacentral:rRNA from 1 species
CAACAGGGAUUGCCUCAGUAACGGCGAGUGAAGCGGCAACAGCUCAAAUUUGAAAUCUGGCCUCGGCCCGAGUUGUAAUUUGUAGAGGAAGCUUUUGGUGCGGCACCGACCGAGUCCCCUGGAACGGGGCGCCAUAGAGGGUGAGAGCCCCGUAUGGUUGGACGCCUAUCCUCUGUAAAGCUCCUUCGACGAGUCGAGUAGUUUGGGAAUGCUGCUCAAAAUGGGAGGUAAAUUUCUUCUAAAGCUAAAUAUUGGCCAGAGACCGAUAGCGCACAAGUAGAGUGAUCGAAAGAUGAAAAGCACUUUGAAAAGAGGGUUAAAUAGCACGUGAAAUUGUUGAAAGGGAAGCGCUUGUGACCAGACUUGCGCCUCGUCGAUCAUCCGGGGUUCUCCCCGGUGCGCUCGGCGGGGCUCAGGCCAGCAUCGGUUCUCGCGGGGGGACAAAGGCUCCGGGAACGUAGCUCCUCCGGGAGUGUUAUAGCCCGGGGCGUAAUGCCCUCGCGGGGACCGAGGACCGCGCUUCGGCAAGGAUGCUGGCGUAAUGGUCAUCAGCGACCCGUCUUGAAACACGGACCAAGGAGUCAAGGUUUUGCGCGAGUGUUUGGGUGUAAAACCCGCACGCGUAAUGAAAGUGAACGUAGGUGAGAGCUUCGGCGCAUCAUCGACCGAUCCUGAUGUAUUCGGAUGGAUUUGAGUAGGAGCGUUAAGCCUUGGACCCGAAAGAUGGUGAACUAUGCUUGGAUAGGGUGAAGCCAGAGGAAACUCUGGUGGAGGCUCGCAGCGGUUCUGACGUGCAAAUCGAUCGUCAAAUCUGAGCAUGGGGGCGAAAGACUAAUCGAACCAUCUAGUAGCUGGUUACCGCCGAAGUUUCCCUCAGGAUAGCAGUGUUGUUCUUCAGUUUUAUGAGGUAAAGCGAAUGAUUAGGGACUCGGGGGCGCUUUUUAGCCUUCAUCCAUUCUCAAACUUUAAAUAUGUAAGAAGCCCUUGUUACUUAAUUGAACGUGGGCAUUCGAAUGUACCAACACUAGUGGGCCAUUUUUGGUAAGCAGAACUGGCGAUGCGGGAUGAACCGAACGCGGGGUUAAGGUGCCGGAGUGGACGCUCAUCAGACACCACAAAAGGCGUUAGUACAUCUUGACAGCAGGACGGUGGCCAUGGAAGUCGGAAUCCGCUAAGGACUGUGUAACAACUCACCUGCCGAAUGUACUAGCCCUGAAAAUGGAUGGCGCUCAAGCGUCCCACCCAUACCCCGCCCUCAGGGUAGAAACGAUGCCCUGAGGAGUAGGCGGCCGUGGAGGUCAGUGACGAAGCCUAGGGCGUGAGCCCGGGUCGAACGGCCUCUAGUGCAGAUC